AGUGAACGCUGGCGGUAGGCCUAACACAUGCAAGUCGAACGGCAGCACAGGAGAGCUUGCUCUCUGGGUGGCGAGCGGCGGACGGGUGAGGAAUACAUCGGAAUCUACUCUGUCGUGGGGGAUAACGUAGGGAAACUUACGCUAAUACCGCAUACGACCUACGGGUGAAAGCAGGGGACCUUCGGGCCUUGCGCGAUUGAAUGAGCCGAUGUCGGAUUAGCUAGUUGGCGGGGUAAAGGCCCACCAAGGCGACGAUCCGUAGCUGGUCUGAGAGGAUGAUCAGCCACACUGGAACUGAGACACGGUCCAGACUCCUACGGGAGGCAGCAGUGGGGAAUAUUGGACAAUGGGCGCAAGCCUGGUCCAGCCAUACCGCGUGGGUGAAGAAGGCCUUCGGGUUGUAAAGCCCUUUUGUUGGGAAUGAAAUCCAGCUGGCUAAUACCCGGUUGGGAUGACGGUACCCAAAGAAUAAGCACCGGCUAACUUCGUGCCAGCAGCCGCCGUAA
rnacentral:rRNA from 1 species